rnacentral:rRNA from 1 species
AUUGAACGCUGGCGGCAGGCCUAACACAUGCAAGUCGAACGAGUGGCGGACGGGUGAGUAAGGUCUGGGAAACUGCCUGAUGGAGGGGGAUAACUACUGGAAACGGUAGCUAAUACCGCAUACAAUCGGAUGUGCCCAGAUGGGAUUAGCUAGUAGGGGGGGUACAGGCUCACCUAGGCGACGAUCCCUAGCUGGUCUGCGCGGAUGACAAGCCACACUGUAACUUAGACACGGCCCAGACUCCUACGGGAGGCAGCAGGGGGGAAUAUUGCACAAGGGGCGAAAGCCUGAUGCAGCCAUGCCGCGUGUGUGAAUAAGGCCUUCGGGUUGUAAAGUACUUUCAGCGGGGAGGCGUGACCCGCAGAAGAAGCACCGGCUAACUCCGUGCCAGCAGCCGCGGUAAUAC